GAAGGUUAUACUGUAAUACUUACUGUAUCCUGUGUUGUAAUCUUGAAGGUUAUACUGUAAUACUUACUGUAUCCUGUGUUGUAAUCUUGAAGGUUAUACUGUAAUACUUACUGUAUCCUGUGUUGUAAUCUUAAAGGUUAUACUGUAAUACUUACUGUAUCCUGUGUUGUAAUCUUGAAGGUUAUACUGUAAUACUUACUGUAUCCUGUGUUGUAAUCUUGAAGGUUAUACUGUAAUACUUACUGUAUCCUGUGUUGUAAUCUUAAAGGUUAUACUGUAAUACUUACUGUAUCCUGUGUUGUAAUCUUGAAGGUUAUACUGUAAUACUUACUGUAU